rnacentral:rRNA from 1 species
UCACCACUCAAGCUGUGCUUGAUGUUGGGCCCUCGUCCCCCGUGGACGUGCCCGGAAAUCAGUGGCGGCGCAGCCCGGCUUCAAGCGGUAUCAGUCCAUCUUCGCUUUGGAAGUCCGGUUCUGAGCCUGCCAGACAACCCCAUUUUCCAUCAA